CGAAAGCCUGACGGAGCAAGACCGCGUGAGGGAGGAAGGCUCUUGGGUUGUAAACCUCUUUUCUCAGGGAAGAAGCUCUGACGGUACCUGAGGAAUCAGCCUCGGCUAACUCCGUGCCAGCAGCCGCGGUAAUACGGAGGAGGCAAGCGUUAUCCGGAAUUAUUGGGCGUAAAGCGUCCGCAGGUGGCKAUUCAAGUCUGCUGUCAAAGCACGGGGCUYAACUCCGUUAAGGCAGUGGAAACUGAAUAGCUAGAGUGCWGUAGGGGUAGAGGGAAUUCCCGGUGUAGCGGUGAAAUGCGUAGAGAUCGGGAAGAACAYCGGUG
rnacentral:rRNA from 1 species